UAAGGGAGCUACCAUUUGAUUUUUAUGGGGGGGGGGGGGGGGGGCUAGGAUGAAAAUUUUGUCCUGCAUUUUUUUUUUUAGCUGUAAUCUCUGUCCUGCCUUUUUAUUUUUCACUCUGUUCGGUCCUGCCUUUUUUUUUUUUUAGUUUAUCCUGACUAUUUUUACCUAAAUUGUCGUCCUGACUUUUUUUUUUGCAGUGUCUCAUCCUGCCUUUUUUUUUUACUCAAAACUCCUGUCCUUCCUAUUUUUUUCAAAUUUCAUCCUAGCCCCCCCCCCCCCCCCC
rnacentral:lncRNA from 1 species